CCGCACUCGAACUUACCUGUCUGCCCUCCACCACAGAACCCUCAACUGGAUUUCGAGCCGCUCCUCCAUCAUCUCUCGUGGAACCAGGAUCUCUGUAAGGACCCACACUAGGAGACCAAAGCCUCAAACCUACAGUAUCAACCCUCCCGGAAGAACAAGUCCUCCACAACAAUGAACAGACGUCGCAGUGAGCCCGUUCCAGAACCCAUUUACCCAUUUGUUUGCAAUAAAUAUCAUUUUACUGA